GGGGGGUGGCUGUGAUGUCACCGCUGGGAACCGGCGCCCGGCACUGAGUCACGGCGCGGCCACGGCACCCGACGGGGCCGUUCCCACGCUGUCCCCAUUCAUUCAUUCAUUGCUUUACUCAUUCAUUCAUUCGUUGCUUUACUCAUUCAUUCAUUCGUUUGUUUGUCCCCUCCCUCCCUCCGUCGCUCCCCGCCCCCCGCGUGUCCGCGGCUCCUCCCGGUCCGGGUGCCUCCAGAUCCAUCUGUCCCAGUUUAUCCCAGUCCCGGUGCCUCCAGAUCCAGUUGUCCCAGUUUAUCCCAGUCCUGCUUCCUCCAGAUCCAGUUGUCCCGGGUUAUCCUAGUGCCUCCAGAUCCAGUUGUCCCAGUUUAUCCCAGUCCUGGUGCCUCCAGAUCCAGUCGUCCCAGUUCAUCCCAGUCCCAGUGCCUGCAGAUCCAGUCGUCCCAGUUCAUCCCAGUCCCAGUGCCUGCAGAUCCAGUUGUCCCGGGUUAUCCCAGUGCCUCCAGAUCCAGUCGUCCCAGUUCAUCCCAGUCCCGGUGCCUCCAGAUCCAGUUGUCCCGGAUUAUCCCGCGCCCGCAGCGCCACCUGGUGGAGCUUCAUGGGAACGGUGACGCCCAGCACGGCCAAGGCUCCGUAGGCUCCCACCGCCACCACGCUGUACCGGGCCACCAGCCCCAGUGCUCCCAGUGUUCCCAGUAAGGCCAGCGCCGAGCGGCACGGCCACCGCCACAGCAGCAGCUCCCGCACUGGUGACAAAGAUGGGGGGAAGAAGGGGGAGGGGGGGGGUCACAGUGGGGGUCCCGGUGCCCCACGAGUGAGUCAGCGAUCCCGUGCGACCCUACUGGUCCCAGUGCCACGCUCCAUUGGUUUCAAUGGGUCCCAGUUGAUCCCAGUUGCCCCCAGUUGGUCCCAGUGCCCCACCUCCAGGUCACCCCAAUGGGUCCCAGUGGGUCCCAGUGCCCCCCAAGUGCCCCUCAAGCCGGUGUCACCCCGGUAUCACCCUACCGAUCCCAGUGCCACGCUCCAUUGGUUCCAAUGGGUCCCAGUUGCUCCCAGUUGCCCCCAGUUGAUCCCAGUUGCCCUCAGUUGAUCCCAGUGCCCCAGUUCCAGGUCACCCCAAUGGGUCCCAGUGGGUCCCAGUGCCCCCCAAGUGCCCCUCAAGCUGGUGUCACCCCGGUAUCACCCUACCGGUCCCAGUGCCACGCUCCAUUGGUUCCAAUGGGUCCCAGUUAGUCCCAGUUGAUCCCAGUUGCCCCCAGUUGGUCCCAGUGCCCCACCUCCAGGUCACCCCAAUGGGUCCCAGUGCCUCCCAGUUGGUCCCAGUUGAUCCCAGUGGGUCCCAGUGCCCCCCAUCCAAUGUCACCUCGGUGUCACCCUACUGGUCCCAGUGCCAGACCCCAUUGGUUCCAAUGGGUCCCAGUUGCUCCCAGUUGCCCCCAGUUGCUCCCAGUUGCCCCCAGUUGGUCCCAGUGCCCCACCUCCAGGUCACCCCAAUGGGUCCCAGUGCUCCCA
rnacentral:lncRNA from 1 species